CCAAUAGCGUAUAUUAAAGUUGUUGCAGUUAAAAAGCUCGUAGUUGAAUUUCGGGAUUGACACAUCGGUCGUGCCUUAAGGGGUAUGAACUGGUGUAGUCAAUUUCUCACCUUCUGGAGAACCGCGAUGCCCUUAAUUGGGUGUCGCGGGGAACCAGGACCUUUACUUUGAAAAAAUUAGAGUGUUUAAAGCAGGCAUUUUGCUUGAAUACAUUAGCAUGGAAUAAUAAAAUAGGACGGCAUGAUUCUAUUUUGUUGGUUUCUAGGAUCACCGUAAUGAUUAAUAGGGAUAGUUGGGGGCAUUAGUAUUCAAUUGUCAGAGGUGAAAUUCUUGGAUUUAUUGAAGACUAACUACUGCGAAAGCAUUUGCCAAGGAUGUUUUCAUUAAUCAAGAACGAAAGUUAGGGGAUCGAAGACGAUCAGAUACCGUCGUAGUCUUAACCAUAAACUAUGCCGACUAGGAAUCAGACGAUGUUAAUUUUUUAAUGACUCGUUUGGCACCUUACGGGAAACCAAAGUGUUUGGGUC
rnacentral:misc_RNA from 1 species